CAACGUUUGGAAAGAUUUUUCGGUCUGGGAUGGGCUCGCGGCCUAUCAGCUUGUUGGUGAGGUAAUGGCUCACCAAGGCGUCGACGGGUAGCCGGCCUGAGAGGGUGACCGGCCACACUGGGACUGAGACACGGCCCAGACUCCUACGGGAGGCAGCAGUGGGGAAUAUUGCACAAUGGGCGAAAGCCUGAUGCAGCAACGCCGCGUGAGGGAUGACGGCCUUCGGGUUGUAAACCUCUUUUAGCAGGGAAGAAGCGAGAGUGACGGUACCUGCAGAAAAAGCGCCGGCUAACUACGUGCCAGCAGCCGCGGUAAUACGUAGGGCGCAAGCGUUAUCCGGAAUUAUUGGGCGUAAAGAGCUCGUAGGCGGUCUGUCGCGUCUGCUGUGAAAUCUGGAGGCUCAACCUCCAGCCUGCAGUGGGUACGGGCAGACUAGAGUGCGGUAGGGGAGAUUGGAAUUCCUGGUGUAGCGGUGGAAUGCGCAGAUAUCAGGAGGAACACCGAUGGCGAAGGCAGAUCUCUGGGCCGUAACUGACGCU
rnacentral:rRNA from 1 species